rnacentral:rRNA from 1 species
UACGAAGGGGGCUAGCGUUGUUCGGAAUUACUGGGCGUAAAGGGCGCGUAGGCGGUUUUUCAAGUCAGGCGUGAAAGCCCCGGGCUUAAACUGGGAAGUGCGCUUGAGACUGUAAGACUAGAGUACCGGAGAGGUAGGUGGAAUUCCCAGUGUAGAGGUGAAAUUCGUAGAUAUCGGGAAGAACACCCGUGGCGAAGGCGGCCAACUGGACGGAUACUGACGCUGAGGCGCGAAAGCGUGGGGAGCAAACAGG